CAGUAGCCACGGUAACACGGAGGAUCCAAGCGUUAUCCGGAAUCAUUGGGUUUAAAGGGUCCGUAGGCGGUCUUGUAAGUCAGUGGUGAAAGCCCAUCGCUCAACGGUGGAACGGCCAUUGAUACUGCAGGACUUGAAUUAUUGGGAAGUAACUAGAAUAUGUAGUGUAGCGGUGAAAUGCUUAGAGAUUACAUGGAAUACCAAUUGCGAAGGCAGGUUACUACCAAUUGAUUGACGCUGAUGGACGAAAGCGUGGGUAGCGAACAGGAUUAGAUACCCGUGUAGUCCCUGUCUCUUAUAC
rnacentral:rRNA from 1 species